rnacentral:sRNA from 1 species
CUCUGUUUCUCUCCUUACCCAUAUCUACCGUUCUCCCCGCCUGCAUCUCCCAUCUCCCUUGCUAUUGCCGAGUCUCUGGCUUUCCCUCUCUGCCUUGCUAUGUAUUUCUGUGUCCCCCCUGCCGUAUCUUCCCACGCCUCUUUGUCUCUGCGACUCCUCUCUCUUCACUCUCUGCCUUGGUUUCUGUGUGGCCUUCCUCAUCUUCACUUUGUCUGGCCUUCUGUGCCUCUCUGUCUCUGUUCUCUCUGUCUCUGUGCCUCUCGGUCUCUGUUCUCUCUGUCUCUGUGUCUCUGUCUCCCUCUCUCUGGGCCCCGCCUUGCCCAACUCUCCCAGUUGAGGAGCGCAACUUUGCUGAGUUCAACUUCAUCAAUGAGCAGAACUUGGAGCUGGAGCAUGUGCAGGAAGAGAUCAAGGAGAUGCAGGAGGCUUUGGUGAGCGCACGUGCCAGCAAGGAUGACCGGCAUUUGCUGCAGGAGCAGCAGCAGAAGGCGUUGCAGCAGCGCGUGGACAAGGUGCACUCGGAGGCUGAGCGCCUUGAGGCCCGCUUCCAGGAUGUGCGGGGACAGCUGGAGAAGCUCAAGGCUGGCUGGAGUGCAAUGGUGUGAUCUUGGCUCACUGCAACCUCCGCUUCCUGGGUUGCGGAGGUCACCUGUCACCAGGUGAGGUGGUUCCUCACCUGCCUCAGCCUCUCGAGUAGCUGGGACUACAGAUAUCCAGCUCCUCUUCACCAAGGCCCAUUGCGACAGCAGCAUGAUCGAUGACCUCCUUGGGGUCAAGACUAGCAUGGGAGACCGGGACAUGGGCCUCUUCCUGAGCCUCAUUGAGAAGCGGCUGGUGGAGCUCCUGACAGUGCAGGCCUUCCUACAUGCCCAGGUGGGAGGCGGCAGGGAGCCGGGCGGGAGGCCAGUCUCGGGGGUGGCCCAGCUGACCGCAGGCUCCCACACUCUCCAGAGCUUCACCUCCCUGGCCGACGCUGCCCUCCUAGUGCUGGGCCAGAGCCUGGAGGACCUUCCGAAGAAGAUGGCCCCACUUCAGCCCCCUGACACUCUGUGAGGCGCAGGGCAGGAGAGAAGACCCCCCGGGUUUUGAGGCCAGCGAUGACUACCCCAUGAGCAGGGAGGAGCUGCUGAGCCAAGUGGAGAAGCUGGUGAGAGUGGGGCCUGCGGGGGUGGGGCCAGGCCUCAGUGCGUGUCGGGGCCCAGCUCACCUUCCCUGCAGGUGGAGCUCCAGGAGCAGGCGGAGGCGCAGUGCCAGAAGGACCUGGCGGACGCCGCCGCGAAGCUGGACGGCACCCUGAGCGCGGACCUGGCCAGCACCCAAAGGGCCGGCUCCAGUACCGUCCUGGCGCCCACCAGGCACCCCCAUGCCAUCCCCGGGUCCAUCUUGAGCCACAAGACUAGCAGAGACCGUGGUUCUCUUGGCCGCGUCACUUUUGGCCUCCUCAGCUCCAGCACCGGGCAUUUGCCCAGCCACGUCACGCAGGGUGACCCCAACACUGGCCACGUGACCUUCGGCUCCACCAGUGCCUCGAGUGGGGGCCACGUGACCUUCAGACCUGUCAGCGCCAGCAGCUACCUGGGCUCCACUGGAUACGUGGGGUCCAGCAGCUACCUGGGCUCCACUGGAUACGUGGGGUCCAGCAGGGACGGAGAAAACACAGAGGGUGGUGUGGAGAGCGGAGGCACAGCGUCCGAUUCGAGCGGAGGCCUCGGGUCCAGCAGAGACCACGUCUCCAGCACCGGCCCUGCCUCCAGCACUGGCCCGGGCUCCUCCACCAGCAAAGACUCCCGGGGCUAACACGAGGGGCACGCAGCCCCCACCCUGCCCUGGCUCUCUGUGGGGUCUUUUUUUGUGUCUCCACUUCCCUGUUUGCCUUGUGGGUCUCUGUCUUUUUCUCCCAGUCGCAGGCCUCUGUCUUUUUGCCCCUUCAACUGUUUUCAUCUGCCCUUCAUCACCGCCUCACCUAUGUCUCCCGGUUCCUUUCUCUCUGCUCCUGACCCUGCUUUUCCCUCUGCCUCCUGAUCUCCUGUUCUUUGGGCUUCCUAGUCAGUGUCUGUCCGUCUUGUCUCCAUAUCUGCCCCUUGCCUGUCUGCUGAGCCCUGGCCCCCUGUGGAUCCCCCACCUCCUGUUUCUGGCUCACUCUCCUCGUCUCCCUCUCCCAGGCUUUCCAUGCAUCCUGUGUCCCUGUCUCUGUAGCUCCUCACUCCCCAAGAGCCCUCCAGUGCUGACAGGCGUGGGAAAAGUCAGGGCGAAGACGCCAGGUUCAGCAUGGGAAAAUGGGACUGUGGAAAUAAAGUGUAUGUGUGGA